rnacentral:lncRNA from 1 species
UUACAUAGAACUCCAGCCACAAGCAGAGAUAUUUGAUUUGUAUCCAGUCUGUGCCACCAGCAUGUAUAGAAUAUAUAGGUCAAGUGGGGAGAUAUUAAGUGUUCUGCUACUUUUUGAAGGAAAUUUGUUAAAAAAGUAAUCAAACCUAAUGAGUAUACUUACCUCAGAUAGUCACUCUCUUUGAAUGCCUAACUUUUUCACAAAAACUUGCACCCAGAGAAAGAGCCACAAAAUUGUAUUAAUGAUCAUUCAUCCACAAAUUUCGAUGGUUUCCUGGUCCUGACAGAUGGAGAAAUAUGUACUCUAGGUGGCCUCUCUGAAGUUUGGCAGUAGAUAUGCAUGAUCUCAUGCAACAAAGAUAGAACAUUCUCCAGUUCUUUUGGCAGAAGAUGAUGAGGAGUAUAAAAGAAGAUUAAGUUUCUAAGCAAUAUUUUCUUCUAAAAAUCUUCUAUAAGUAUUUUAUAAAGAAGUAGAACUCCUAAAUGAAACCUGCCAUGAAGUUAAGGUAUAGAUUGCUAUCAAAGAAGGAUAUUCUAGAUUCUAAGUGUUUGACACAGCUUUGAAAUCUGUGAACUUGAAUAACAAUGGAUAAAAGCUAAUUAAUCAUUGCUUAAACUAAGCCAAACCAAAGUUCUGAUAUAAUGUUUACAGAUAUCACUCAGUCAUUCACUUUCAUUGUCUGGUUCUUUUAAUAACUUAGCACUGAGAAUCUUGCCAAAUAUGGGUAUUUUGACCCCAACGAUCUGUUCAGAAACAGUUCUUUUUAAUGGAAGCUGCAUUAUCAAGGGCACAGUUGACAUUCUAUAUAAUUCCUUAAUUCAAUUUGAAAUAGAGUGACAUCAACCUUGGACCAGUACCCAAACUACAGCAUGUUCAAAUUAUUAAAGAGCUUUAAUCCAUUUUCCAUGUCCAUCUUCCCUGAACUUUAUCAUAUUGAAACCAAAAUACCAAGGUUAGUAAAUAGGUUUCAACUUACUAUUCAAAUGGAAUAGUGACUGCUUGGAGAGCUAUGUGGAAAGGGAUCUUGGGCUCAGGUCAGUAGACAUGAGGAUUGUGAUUAGCAUUGUCUGCCAUGGAGAGGUAGUAGUAGUAGAAACAGCUAGAAAACAAAAUUCUGGAACCUAAAGGUGUUUAACGCAGAGAAAAGAAAUCUCAGGUGAGCCAUGGUAUUUUCCUCAAAUGCUUGAAGGGCAGCUAUACGAAAGACAGAAUCAACUUUUUCUAACAUGGAAUUAGUAUUGGUAAGCAAAAUCACAAACUCCAUGUAACAAAGAACUUUUAAAUAAUUAGAGAAGUCCAAAAUGGAACCCAUACUAGGAUAUCAUAGAAAGGAUCCCAGCAAGUAUGGAGAAUUAGAAUUAAUUAUUUCUUAGGGAUCUUACCACACGCCAUCAAGUCUCAACAAUGAUAAAUAUUACUUUUUAGAGGAGGGUUACCUGUACUGAGAUAAAAACAAACAAAGGAAAAUGUCCAUCUAGUUCAGACCAAAUAUUUAGUACGGCCACUGAAUUUUGCCCUAAUCUGAAGCAACGUCUGUACCUUGCCAUAGUACUUUGAAAGCUAUUUUAUAUUUGAAAUUUAAAAAAUGCAUUUGAAAUUGGACAUCAUCUUUUAAAACCUCAGAAUUCAGGAUUCUAAUGUGUCAGUGUGGCUACACCUGAACUAACAGUCCUUGCCAAAAUGAAACCUAUCAAAAGCGUUCAUGCCAUAUAUUGGAAACCAAUUGGUUGCCCUGGAAGGUUAGGUAUAUGAUUCGUUAUUGUCCCGUCAGCAAUCAGCAUCUUUGCCGUAGACUGAAGGAGAUGGAGAGAAAAUCACACAAGACAGAGAUGAAAGCUGUGUAGUCAGAAGAAAAAAGCCUUCUUGAUUAUGCUGUGGACUUUCUGAAGUCUUUAAUUCUCCCUCUAGCCCAUCUUCAAACUGGCAUGUGGGACGUACUGUAGAUGGAUGGUGAUGCUCAUCAGGAGAAGCACACACAUAUAUCUUGUGGGUUGAUUUUUUUAUUUGCCAGCUCAAGAGGAGCAGGGAGAUUUAUUUGGAAGGAUGGUAAUGAAGGUGGGGAGGCACUAGUUAGACUGCAGUUUCUGUUCCCAAUAUGUUAUUCUCACUUUUUUCUCUUCUUGAUGCUGGGUUGCUCUCUUUAUUUCCACUUAUUUUUCUUUAAAGGAGGGAUGUUUUGGUGUACUAAGCCAGCGGCUUGAGAGAGGAGGGUGGUAAAGAUGUGGGAACACAGGAUCUCUAUGUGUUAUUUUUGCUGAGAUAUUUCAAAUGUUUUAAUUACAUUCUACAUUUUUAUUCCACACACAUUUACUUAUACACAAUUACAUACUAUUUGAAAUAGUUGUUUUCUUUAUCCCCAAAUGAGAUUUCAUGUUCCCUUCCUCGCUAUCUUUCUUUUUGCUCUGCCUCACAAGAAUGAAAUAAUUCACUAUAACAAAAAAAAUCACUUUC